rnacentral:rRNA from 1 species
CCUACGGGAGGCAGCAGUGAGGAAUAUUGGUCAAUGGGCGCAAGCCUGAACCAGCCAAGUAGCGUGAAGGAUGACUGCCCUACGGGUUGUAAACUUCUUUUGUAAAGGAGUAAAGUGAGGCACGUGUGCCUUUUUGUAUGUACUUUAUGAAUAAGGAUCGGCUAACUCCGUGCCAGCCGCCGCGGUAAUACGGAGGAUCCGAGCGUUAUCCGGAUUUAUUGGGUUUAAAGGGAGCGUAGGUGGGUUGUUAAGUCAGUUGUGAAAGUUUGCGGCUCAACCGGAAAAUUGCAAUUGAUACUGGCAGUCUUGAGUACAGUUGAGGUAGGCGGAAUUCGUGGUGUAGCGGUGAAAUGCUUAGAUAUCACGAAGAACUCCGAUUGCGAAGGCAGCUUACUAAACUGUAACUGACAUUGAGGCUCGAAAGCGUGGGUAGCAAACAGGAUUAGAUACCCUAGUAGUC